AUUUGAUGGUGUGGGCAGCUUGCACAUAGUUUCUUGAAACGCUCCCAAUAUUCAUACAAUGACUCUCCAUUGUGUUGCCUUAUACCACAAAUUUCCUUUCUAAUGUU
rfam:Ipomoea nil DNA, scaffold: scaffold2779, cultivar: Tokyo-kokei standard.